AAAUGACUUCUUAUCAAUCUUGUUGGAUUUUUUUCCUGCUAGAUCAAACCUGUUGUUGGACUUUCUAGUGACUCUCUAAAUUCAGGCUGGACACGGUGGCUGAUGCCUGUAAUCCUAGCACUGUGGGAGGCCAAGGUGAGUGGAUCAUGAGGUCAGGAGAUCGAGACCAUCCUGGACAGCAUAAUGAAACCCGGUCUCUACUGAAAAUACAAAAGUUAGCCGGGCGUGGUGGCAUGUGCCUAUAGUCCCAGCUACUCCGGUGGCUGAGGCAGAAUAAUUCCUUGAACCUGGGAGGUGGAGGUUGUAGUGAGCUGAGAUCAUGCCACUGCACUCCAGCCUGGGAAACAGAGUGAGACUUCAUCUAAAAAAAAAAAAAAAAAAAUUACCAUUAAUAGGCACCUAGGUUGAUUUAUGACUUUCCUAUUAUAAAUAAUGCAGCGAUGAACCAACAAGUGCAUGUGCUAUAUUGGUAGAAUAAUUUAUUGUCUUUCUGGUAUAUACACAGUGGAGAAAUUGCUGGGUUGAAUCAUAGUUCAAUUCUCAGUUAUUUGGAAAAUCUCCAAGCUGCUCUCCACAGUGGCUGAACUAAUUUAUAUUCCUAUUAACACUGUAUCAGUGGUUUUUUUCCCUCUAAAAUCUCAUCAACAACUACUAUCAUUUUACUUUUUAACAAAAGCCAUUCUAACUGUUGUAUGAUGGUGUCUUAUUGUGGUUUUUAUUUACAUUUCCUUGAUGGUUAGUGAUGAUAAUAUUUUUUCACGUUAUUUGGCUACUUGUAUGUAUUCUUUUGAACAGUGUCUGUUAUUGUCCACUUUUUCAUGGGGUAAUUUUUUGCUUGUGAAUUCUUUAAGUUUCUUAUAGAUUCUGAGUAUUAGAUUUUGUCAGGUUCAUUGGUUGUGAAAAUUUUUCCCAUUCUGCUAGCUUUGGGGUUAGUUUGUUUUUAUUUUUCUAGUUUCUCUAAGUGUGAUGUUAAAUUGUUAGUUUGAGAUCUUUCCAACUUCUUGAUGCAGGUAUUUAGCACUCUCAACUUUCCUCUUAACAGUGCUUUCCCUACAACCCAGACAUUUUGGUAAAUUGUGUCUCUUAAUUUAUUUCAAAAUUUUUUUAAAGUUUCUGCCUUAAUUUUGUUAUUUACCCAAAAUUCACUCAGGAGCAAGUUGUUUAAUUUCAAUGUCAUUCUGUGAUUUUGUGAGAUUUUCUUGGUAUUGAUUUUUAUCUUUGUUCCAUUGUGGCCUGACAGUAUGGUUGGCAUAAUUUUCAUUUUUAAAAAAUGUAUGGAUAAUUGCUUUAUGGCUAGGAAGUGGUCAAUCCUAGAGUAUAUUCUGUGAGUGAUGAGAAGAAUUUAUGUUCCUUAGAUGAUGUGUGGCUUAGCUAUAAGUGUCUAUUAGUUUCAAUUGAUCAAGCCUGAAAUCAAACUCCAGAAUUUCUUUGUUAAGUUUCUGCCUAGAUAAUCUGACAAACACUGUUAGUGGGGAGUUGCAUUCUCCUACUAUUAUUGUGUGGCUACUUGAGUCUUAUUGUAGGUCUAGCAGUACUUGUAUAACUCUAUGUUCCCCAAAGUUGGGUGCAUCUACAUUUAGGAUAGUUAAGUCUUCUUGUUGAAUUGAACCCUUUAUCAUUAUGCAAUGCCUUUCUUUGUUUUAUUUUACUAUUAAUGAUUUAAAGUCCUUUUUUCUUAAAAGAGAAACAAUUCCAGGUAUGGUGGCUCAUCCCAGCACUUUCAGACUGAGGCAGUAGGAUUGCCUGAGACCAGGAGUUUGAGACCAACUGAGGCAACAUAACAACAUUCUGUUUGUACAAAUUUUUUUAAAGAAACUACACAGGUGUGGUAGUGUGCAGAACUGUGGUCAUAUUUACUCAGGAGACAUAGGCGGCAUGACUGCUUGACUUCAGAAAUUUGUGGUUACAGUGAGCUGUGAUUGCACCACUUCACUCUGUCCCAGGAUAUAGAGUAAGAUCCUGUGUAUAAAAUGAAAAAAUAAAGAAAAAUAAAAUUAUUUUAAGUUAAAAAUAAAUUCAUAGAUCUCCACUUCUUUUGGUUCUCUUGAAUAUAUAUUUUUCUCAUUAGAUUAGGCUAUAUUUCCUGGUUGCUUUUACAUACUGUGGUUUUGUUAAGGUUUUGGUCAAUUAAGAAACCACUACCUAUUUUAUCCUUUAUGAAAUAGCUUUGUACAUGGGAAAAUUGACAACAUUCUGCCACACUAGUCAUUCUGGGAGCUUCUCCAAUCUGUUGUCAAAAUGUGUCUUCGUUGGACUAGUGUAUGUAUUUUCGUGUUAAUAAGGUUUACCUCUGUUUCCUUUUAGGAGCCUUUAGCCUCUUCCCUUUGUCACUGUUACAGGCACUACCAUCUCUGUUGUUGUAAGAAAUAUUUAUCUUUAUUCUCAGUUGACCCAAGCUGUCAUUUAAACUCUAUCUCUAUUCUGGUCAACAUUAAAUGUUAAAGGAAGCAAUAUCCAGUCUUUGGAGAACCCCGGUAUGACUCAAUAAGUCAGAAGUUUGCAUACACAUUUCACCCUUUUUUCUUUCCCGAGGGAGAAUCAUAGAAUGGACAGAUUUUUAUCUAACUGCACUGUUCUGUAGUGCACAAAUGUAACCAAAUUUUCUUUCUUCUAAAUGUGGUUAUGGUUGGCUUUUUUCUGAUGUGGGGUGCUACAAACUCAACUGGCUUUGCUCGCCCAAUUGUAGUUAAGUUCAUACAUCCAUUGAGAGAAACAGGAUCUCAGGUUCUGCUUCAACUGUCAUUGUGUUCUCAGCUGGCCUCAUUUUGUACAUUCGAUUUAUAAAAUAUAUUUUCCUUAAUCUCAUAACCGAAUUUUUAAAAAAAUUAAUAUUUUUCAGCUCUUUUAGCAUUAUAUCCAACCAAGACCCAGAGAAAACAGUACAUAGAAGCUUCUUUUCAAAAAGUACUAUUGGGAAGAUCUGGGAGCCCUGGCCUUGAAAAUUUACACGUAAGGAAAGUGGGAAAUUGAAGGAUAAGUGUAAAGGGCACAAAGGAUGUUAUGAUGAAUAUACCAGAUAUACAGCAAUUACCUACAGCAAAAAUGUCACUGCUAGAAGAGCUCAAAACCAUAAAGUAUUUUGGAAAAAGCA